UGAAAGCUUAAAACUUAAAAGACUUGACGGUACUUCACACCAACCUAGAGGAGCCUGUCUAAUAACCGAUAAUCCACGAUAAACCCAACCCAACCUAGCCAACAAUCAGUCUAUAUACCGCCGUCGCCAGCCUACCUUGUAAAAGAAAAAAAGUAAGCACAACAGCACACACUAAUACGACAGGUCGAGGUGUAACUCAUGGUUGGGAAAAAGAUGGGCUACAUUUUCUAACACAGAACAAACGGAUACACCUUGAAACAGGAAACUGAAGGAGGAUUUAGCAGUAAGAUAAGAACAAAAUACUUACCCGAAAUUUGCAAUGAAGUACGU
rnacentral:rRNA from 1 species